rnacentral:rRNA from 1 species
ACAUGGUCGGAAUCCUGAAGAGAUUUAGGAGUGCUCGAAAGAGAACCGACACACAGGUGCUGCAUGGCUGUCGUCAGCUCGUGUCGUGAGAUGUUGGGUUAAGUCCCGCAACGAGCGCAACCCUUGUCAUUAGUUGCUACGAAAGGGCACUCUAAUGAGACUGCCGGUGACAAACCGGAGGAAGGUGGGGAUGACGUCAAGUCCUCAUGGCCCUUAUGGGUAGGGCUUCACACGUCAUACAAUGGUACAUACAGAGGGCUGCCAACCCGCGAGGGGGAGCUAAUCCCAGAAAGUGUAUCGUAGUCCGGAUUGUAGUCUGCAACUCGACUACAUGAAGUUGGAAUCGCUAGUAAUCGCGGAUCAGCAUGUCGCGGUGAAUACGUUCCCGGGUCUUGUACACACCGCCCGUCACACCAUGGGAGCGGGUUUUACCAGAAGUGGGUAGCCUAACCGCAAGGAGGGCGCUUACCACGGUAGGAUUCGUGACUGGGGUGAAGUCGUAACAAGGUAAGCGUAGUGCU